rnacentral:rRNA from 1 species
GACGUAGGGCGCGAGCGUUGUCCGGAUUUAUUGGGCGUAAAGAGCUCGUAGGCGGCUCGUUGCGUCGGCUGUGAAAACCCGCAGCUCAACUGUGGGCUUGCAGCUGAUACGGGCGGGCUGGGAUUCGGUAGGGGAGACUGGAAUUCCUGGUGUAGCGGUGAAAUGCGCAGAUAUCAGGAGGAACACCGGUGGCGAAGGCGGGUCUCUGGGCCGAGACUGACGCUGAGGAGCGAAAGCGUGGGGAGCGAACAGG